CUCUUUGGGAGCUUGGGGCAGGUGACAGCAGCCACAUCUCCCAUGUGUGCCUACGAGAGAGAUGAGAAAGAGAGGAGUGGAAGAGUGGAAGCAGGGGGCUGAGAGUGCCCAGGUUCUGCCAAUGAGCAGCUGUCUGAGCACUAUAAAAGCUGACUGGUGGUGUGAUGGGGCUUGAUACCUUGGGAAGGUGCUUGUUGUUAUGGUCUGGGAUGCUGCCAGGUGGCUCUUGGUCAAGGAGGAAGAGCAGGAAGACUGGUUCCUGGCUUGGUACUUCAAGAUGCAGUGGGGGAGUGGUUUUCCCAUUGUUUCUUCUAACCGCUACUCUAUUUUUGUUCAAAACGCUCCUUUGCCUUGAGGAAGCUGUGUCACCAGAUGUCCCUGAUGCUGCUCCCUGAUGAACCAGAGCUGUGGGCAAUGGAGAUGAAUCCAGCCUGGCAUAGCAGCCUGUUUGAUGCCCGUUGGGAAAUGACAAUGACUGGAUUCAGCACCCAGCAGGUGCAGCUCUGACUCAUUUGCACUCACUGAGCACCUGUGGGUGUGCACCCAAGGAUUGCUGCUGCAUGGUGUGAAGCCUGAGGGCUGCUUCCCUUGCAGAGGUGCUUCUUGCUCUCCUGCCUCACUCUCUGCUAGGAGUGGAAGUGGGAAGGAUUUAAGGUAUCUCAAAGAGGAACAGGAUGACCUGAGCUCCAAGCAGAGAUUGUAUGAGAUUUAUUUCUAAAGGAUAACUUGAAACAUUUAGUAAUACUUUGUUUUAUCUUCCACCUCGACACAAAUUGUCAUUGUGCAGUAAUGGGGAGAAGCAAUAAAGGCUCUCUGCAUUUCCUGCUCUGCACAAUGACCUGCAGCACCUUUCCUUGUGAAGAUUUCUAAUGCAAAGCUUUGUGGAGGACAGAGCCUGGCUUGGGUGUGAAGUGCAAACCCAGACAAUGUGAGAUGCAGAGCUGAGGCAGCAGAAGGGGUGCAAGGUGCUGGGGUCCCAUGGUGCCCAUCCGUUGUGUGCGGGUGACAGCAUGGGCUGGGUGUGUGGAGGAAGGGGGUAUGGAUGUGGGUAGAGCAGCAGUGUUGGCAGCUGGAGAAGCUUCCCAGCAGGGCACAGGGUUUUGCAGUGCUCGCAGCUAUUUCCCAGUGCCCUUCUGUGCUCUCACCACCUGGCUCUGGCACACGGCAGCUGCGGUGCAGCCCCUUUACAGCUGUUUGCAUAAGACCUGCUCAUCACUCUGUGAUCCUCUCCCUGCCCUUGCCACAGCAAAAUAGCUCUCUGGGUGGUGAUGUGUGCCCAUCUUCUCAGCUGUGUGGCUUUGAGCAGAGCUGCCAAUGCUUUUUAGGCAAGAAAAACUGCUUCGAGGAAGCCUGGCUCUGCUGCUGUGUGUGUGAUGGGCUCUGGUGACAGAGAGCUGUUCCCAGGGUGAGCAGCUGAUGUAAAGCGGUUGCGUACAGAGAUCAGAUGCAAGAUUGAGCAUAAAGAUCUAUGAAGAGGCAAAAAAACAAACAAACAAACAAAAAAACCCAAACACCUGAAAAAGCCCAUAGGAUGCCCAGUUCCUGUAGAUGGAGGAUGGUAAUAUCAGGCGUGGUGUGGGCAGUGGGUGAGAACAGGGUGUUGGGAUAAGGAGGAGCUCAAUGGACAUGUGGGUGUGGGCGGUGCCUGGCCAGGCAUGGACUGAACCCAUCCACCUCUUCAGCCUUAGUUAGAACAAGCAGUGUGCUUCUGCUCUGUAUAAGCAAUUAGCAUCACAUGGCCAUGGUGAUUUUCAUCUGGCACCUGCAUCCCAAAGCCAAUUUAGCAUGAAAAUGCUCAGUGUGUAAACACAAGGAGAAUAGCCUCUUAGCUCCUGGGCCCUCUGUCCUUGGUGUGACAUUCAGUAUUUACAAAGAUUGGGGCUUUUUGUUUUGUUUUCCGCUGCAACAGGGAACCACACAGAUUUCUCUGAAUUCAAAAGAUGAUGACUUUUUUGAUGCCCAAAAUGACCGCUUCUGCUUGACUAAUACUGGACAAAUAUUGACUCAUGGCUACUACAAGUUGGUUCCUUCACUGAUGAAUGCUCAAGGCUACUUGGAUAAACAAAUGAUUUCUCAUGAAUAUUCUUAUUUUAGCACAUCCCUAGAAUAAUAAUGCAUCCUG
rnacentral:lncRNA from 1 species